GAGUCCUGAGAGGAUUGAAGGAGAGUGGGCUGCGCUGGCUGCACCUCCUGUUAUAGAGGGCAGAUCGGAGGUGGUCUUUUGAAGAGACGGGCUGCGCUGUGUUUGGCAGAGUCCUGCAUAUUCUUGCAGCUAAGGCUGAGUGGGCUGUGAGGAGGACUUCCCUAUUUAGAAGGGCGUCAGCAGCAGAUAAGAUGGCAAAGGGCCCAGCAGCAGAUAAGGUGGCGAAGGGCCCGGCACCACUCUUUCACUGCCAUACCGGGGACCAGCGCCACAAGCAUCCAGCAACGCUCGCAGCUGAAGGACGCAGGCAGCCUUCCAGGUCCCAGCACAGCAGGAGGACACUGGAGAGGAAGGCGCAGCCCUCCCCAAAUCCAGUAGGAGGAAGCCAGGCCAGACAGCCCCUCGGGCCCCAGUACAGACAGCGGUGGGUGGACCAGCCCAGAGCAAACACUGUACUGUGCCUCCUGCUCCUCGGAUGAGGAGGUGGCAGCAGCACUACCUCCUGCAUACACCAGGCCUCCCCCAGGCUCUCCAUCAUUUUCCAUGGUGACAUCGGGCUCAUCCACCCCAACUAGUUCUCUGACCUAUUCACCGAGACCGACGGACCCGUCUCGUCCCGUGCUACUCCGGAGAGUUGCUGUCGAUAGCAAAUAGAUUAUUUUAUCGAAUUGUGGAUAAUUUUUAAAAUUAAUUAAUUUUGUUUUGUUUUUGUUUAGUGUAAUAAUAAUAAUUUGUAUUUGGCAGUGUGCGUUGCUAAUUUAUUCCUCUCUCUUGCAUGAAUUUUGCUAAAUGUACAGUAGUUCAGUGCAUGGUGGGAAGAAGAUAAAAUAAUUAUUAUUUGUACUGUAUGUCCACAACGGUUCCGGUAUGAAAGAUAGAUAGUGUCUAGUUAG